GACGAACGCUGGCGGCGUGCUUAACACAUGCAAGUCGAACGGAAAGGCCCUUCGGGGUACUCGAGUGGCGAACGGGUGAGUAACACGUGGGUGAUCUGCCCUGCACUUUGGGAUAAGCCUGGGAAACUGGGUCUAAUACCGAAUAGGACCACGCGCUUCAUGGUGUGUGGUGGAAAGCUUUUGCGGUGUGGGAUGGGCCCGCGGCCUAUCAGCUUGUUGGUGGGGUAAUGGCCUACCAAGGCGACGACGGGUAGCCGGCCUGAGAGGGUGACCGGCCACACUGGGACUGAGAUACGGCCCAGGCUCCUACGGGAGGCAGCAGUGGGGAAUAUUGCACAAUGGGCGCAAGCCUGAUGCAGCGACGCCGCGUGAGGGAUGACGGCCUUCGGGUUGUAAACCUCUUUCACCAGGGACGAAGCGUAAGUGACGGUACCUGGAGAAGAAGCACCGGUCAACUACGUG
rnacentral:rRNA from 1 species